CCAUUAACAUAAAUAAAUACUGAUCUGAUUAAAGCAAGACAACGUCGGCAGUACUGACGGCUAAAUAGGCUACAGAAUAUUUUGUGCCUUAUGACAGGUGCAAUAUUUUAUUACGUUUAUAUCUGCAUCUAUGUCAAAACCUAGAGGCUUUCAAAGAUCAACUUGUUAUUUAUUAAUAUGUAUUUGUGUCAAAAUGACAUAUAGUAUAAUCAUCUUUUCCUAUUCUAUUUGGCCUGGAAAUGCUUCCAACAUGCUCGUGUGUGGCGUGAUCAAUAGGCGUCGGCCCUAUUUCUAGCACGCACGCGUUUUCUCGAGCCGUGCGCGCCACGCGGUCAGUGUGCAAGCUCUAACCUGUUACCAUGGGAGCCGAAAUAAAAACGGACACGCCACGUAGCUGACACGCUCACGCCACACAUCCAGCGUGUAGCCGGCCU